AUGCUUUAUCUCCUGGGAGCAGGCCCGCUGGAGGCUGGAGUCACCCACGCUCCGAGACACCUGAUCAAAACAACGGGACAGACAGUGACACUGAGAUGUUCCCCUAUCUCUGGGCACCGCAAUGUAUCUUGGUACCAACAGGCCCUGAGUCAGGGCCCCCUGUUCCUCUCUGAGUUUUAUGAAAAUAUGCAGAGAGCAAAAGGAAACUUCCCGGGUCGAUUCUCAGCACAGCAGUUCCGUGACGCUCGCUCUGAGCUGAACGUGAGCACCUUGGAGCUGAGGGACUCGGCCCUGUACCUGUGUGCCCGCAGCUUAGCACAGCCCUGCUGA